UAGAGUGCGGUAGGGGAGAUUGGAAUUCCUGGUGUAGCGGUGGAAUGCGCAGAUAUCAGGAGGAACACCGAUGGCGAAGGCAGAUCUCUGGGCCGUAACUGACGCUGAGGAGCGAAAGGGUGGGGAGCAAACAGGCUUAGAUACCCUGGUAGUCCACCCCGUAAACGUUGGGAACUAGUUGUGGGGUCCUUUCCACGGAUUCCGUGACGCAGCUAACGCAUUAAGUUCCCCGCCUGGGGAGUACGGCCGCAAGGCUAAAACUCAAAGGAAUUGACGGGGACCCGCACAAGCGGCGGAGCAUGCGGAUUAAUUCGAUGCAACGCGAAGAACCUUACCAAGGCUUGACAUACACCAGAACACCGUAGAAAUACGGGACUCUUUGGACACUGGUGAACAGGUGGUGCAUGGUUGUCGUCAGCUCGUGUCGUGAGAUGUUGGGUUAAGUCCCGCAACGAGCGCAACCCUCGUUCUAUGUUGCCAGCACGUAAUGGUGGGAACUCAUGGGAUACUGCCGGGGUCAACUCGGAGGAAGGUGGGGAUGACGUCAAAUCAUCAUGCCCCUUAUGUCUUGGGCUUCACGCAUGCUACAAUGGCCGGUACAAAGGGCUGCAAUACCGUGAGGUGGAGCGAAUCCCAAAAAGCCGGUCCCAGUUCGGAUUGAGGUCUGCAACUCGACCUCAUGAAGUCGGAGUCGCUAGUAAUCGCAGAUCAGCAACGCUGCGGUGAAUACGUUCCCGGGUCUUGUACACACCGCCCGUCAAGUCAUGAAAGUCGGUAACACC
rnacentral:rRNA from 1 species